CACGUAGGGGCCAAGCGUUGUCCGGAUUUAUUGGGCGUAAAGAGCUCGUAGGCGGUUCGGUAAGUCGGGUGUGAAACCUCCAGGCUCAACCUGGAGACGCCACCCGAUACUGCUGUGACUUGAGUCCGGUAGGGGAGCGUGGAAUUCCUGGUGUAGCGGUGAAAUGCGCAGAUAUCAGGAGGAACACCAGCGGCGAAGGCGGCGCUCUGGGCCGGAACUGACGCUGAGGAGCGAAAGCGUGGGGAGCGAACAGG
rnacentral:rRNA from 1 species